UACGAAGGGGGCUAGCGUUGCUCGGAAUUACUGGGCGUAAAGGGAGCGUAGGCGGACAGUUUAGUCAGAGGUGAAAGCCCAGGGCUCAACCUUGGAAUUGCCUUUGAUACUGGCUGUCUUGAGUACGGGAGAGGUGUGUGGAACUCCGAGUGUAGAGGUGAAAUUCGUAGAUAUGACAUAGAACACCAAUUGCGAAGGCAGCUCACUACACGAAUAUUGACACUGAGGCACGAAAGCGUGGGGAUCAAACAGG
rnacentral:rRNA from 1 species